AGUGAACGCUGGCGGUAGGCCUAACACAUGCAAGUCGAACGGCAGCACAGUAAGAGCUUGCUCUUACGGGUGGCGAGUGGCGGACGGGUGAGGAAUACAUCGGAAUCUACUUUUUCGUGGGGGAUAACGUAGGGAAACUUACGCUAAUACCGCAUACGACCUACGGGUGAAAGCAGGGGAUCUUUGGACCUUGCGGGAUUGAAUGAGCCGAUGACGGAUUAGCUAGUUGGCGGGGUAACGGCCCACCCAGGCGACGAUCCGUAGCUGGUCAGAGAGGAGGAUCAGCCACACUGGAACUGAGACACGGUCCAGACUCCUACGGGAGGCAGCAGUGGGGAAUAUUGGACAAUGGGCGCAAGCCUGAUCCAGCCAUACCGCGUGGGUGAAGAAGGCCUUCGGGUUGUAAAGCCCUUUUGUUGGGAAAGAAAAGCAGCAGGUUAAUACCCCGCUGUUCUGACGGUACCCAAAGAAUAAGCACCGGCUAACUUCGU
rnacentral:rRNA from 1 species